UUCUUAUGGUAUCAACUGACCUUUUUCCUCUGUGUCUGGGCCAUAGAAAACCAAUGCUCCUCCUGUGGAGGCCGACACAUCAGCCAAAGGGAAUCCCCUGUCCUCCUCAGUGGAGGUGAUGGUGGAUUCUGCUCCUGUCAUCAAAAACAGAAAGUCAGAAGAACUGUUGGAGAAACCCAGAGGGUUGGACAUGCCUUCACCUGAAGCUCAGUUAAUACAUGCUAAAGAAGCAGAGUUGUCACAGAAGUCCAAGAUGAGUGCCAAUGGCAUAUGAGAAAGGCUGCAUGUGACCAUCAUCACCUCAUUCUGCUGGAGAAAGUGUGUAGAUGCUGGAGGAAGAGUCUCUCUCACAGUCUAUGAUCUCGAGAGACUCACAUCUUCCAUUCAGACCUGAUCAGCUACUCGCAUCACAUCCUCAAUCUGCUUUUAAAAAAACGGAAAGAGCAAAACGGUUUGGUUUGAAUUGAUCCAUCACUCCUGUUUGACAUCAAUGACAUUUACAACCAUGAACAUUUGACAGAUUAUGUAAAUUAGCGCACAAAAAAGGCUUCAAGAUUCUGUCCGGCCAGAAAAGGAACAAGGAACUUUGCCUCUUCUUUUUUUCUGAACUUCAUCAUGUAAAUGUGUAAAUAAAUUGUACAAUACCUGCAUAUUAUAUAAGUGCUGCCGCUUUAUACAGUCACUGUGCCAUACGUGUAGUUUAUGAGUUGGAAAAAUAAGAUUAUUUUAAUAUGAGGAAUGCGUACGAUUGCAUUCAGGAUUGAGUUUGGCAGAUGAUUUGUAAAUGGCAAAGUAUUUGGGUAUUUUUUUAUUUGAAAAUGUUCCAAUUCCCUUUUCGAGGGGAAUUUUUACGUUCACUCCCUCAGGAGAUGCGAUUAGCGGUGUAGCGAUUUACGCCAGGCCUGCCUGUGGCAGACUCUGCAGUUCGGCACAAAACCGUUUUAUCAGAAAGUGUGUAUUUAAUUUGUUGAUGAUAUGCCGUGUCCCCGUUUGAAUCAUGCAUUUAAAUAUUUUCCUUUGCGGAAAAGCCUAAAUACCUGUAGAAGUCCUGAGUUUACUUUUGAUAAAUAUUGAAAUAUUCCCCGAAGACAUAUUUUAUGUACCGUUUGGAUUGUUAUUGCUUUUCAUGUUGCACUGGAUGAAAACCACUGUGAGGGAAACAAUAUUGUACGGCAAUAUUCUAAAGAUUUACCUGUAUAAGCAUUGAAUCCCCCAGACGUGGCUUUGUUUAUCCUUUCGCCUGGCCUUUAAGUCAACUGUAACCUUCACUGAAUUUGUUACGUCUUGUCCCACUCUGUUCUGGUGCACUUUUUAAGUUGAUCAAUUGUGUAAAAUUGAAAAUUUAGCCUCUCGUUGUAAAAACCAGAGUAACAUCUUUGACCACUGUACAGUCAAGAAGUAAAGGUGCUCUUUUUGAAUCUUCAAGUGUUACACAACCCCAUUAUUAACUCCAUUUGUUUUGCGUCAUUUGAACAAAUGCCAUGGUUUUAGUUUUCAAAAUUUACAAGGUAAAAUUUACUCAUGUUUUCGAUUAAUUGACUUUUGUGUUCAGUUUAAGAGCAUUUCAUUAAAAAAAGAUUCAGAUCUCAAAAUGA